AUUUGAGUCUUCUAUUCCUAUCGUGCAAAAACUCAUAGUAAGAAUUAUUAUACUUAAGUUGGAAAAACAUAUCUCUAAAUAGACUUCUAAGUUUCGCUUAAUCUAAGCACUUCUACUCAAACUUCUCAAUUAUAUUCAUUAACUAGUUAAUUUGCCGUGCUUCGCUGUCAAGUAUAUCUUUUUAUAAAUUUAGUUAAUAUAUCUAUAUAUAUGAACAAUACAAAAACUAAAAGAAUGGAUAUAUAAUAUAGGGCAUAAAUACAGUUUUUCUUUUAAAAAUCAAAUCUUAUAAGGAAAACUACAUAUUUUAAAAAAAAUGUGACAACAAAUUCAAAUAAAUGCACUACAUGAAUUUUUGUAAUUUUAUACCGAUAGAGAAAUAAAUAUAAGUGAUCAAACUGAAAUAAUACUAACACCCGAAAAAAUAAUAGAAACAUUAAUAACAGGAAAACAAAAUUACCAGAGAUUUCUUGUUAAAUAUCUUUAAAAGUAUCUUCCCCAAGAGUUGUUGAACUUUGGUUUUCCUAUUUAAUCAAUGACCACCUCUAUAGCAAUAAUGUCGCCCAAAGAAAAUUACAUACUUCAUCAUUAUCUUUUAUAAAAAUCUUUAAUUUGAAAGGCUGCACGCGUCGUCCCAGCAAGUGUUAACACUAAAUAUUUACAAAUAGCUAUCUUGAGUUAGAUAUAGAAUACAACAACAACAACAACAAGCCCAGUAUAAUCCUACUAUGUGAGGUCUGGGGAGAGUAGAGUGUACGCAGACCUAACCCCACCUUGAAAGGUAGGGCGACUGUUUCCGAAAGACCCUCGGCUCAAGAGAGGAGAAAAAAAGAGGAAAAGACAAAAGGUUAGAUAUGAUCAAGCGUAUCGAAAACAAUAUGAAAACAAGAAAUAACAAAACAAGAAAGUCAUGAUAAAAGGAGUAUCAACUGCUAUAGAUAACUAUGAAAAUGAAACAAUGGAAGUAAAUAAAUCAUUCGAAACCAACAGAUACUCGCAGAAAUCAAGAUACAAGAGUUAGAUAUAGAAUAUGCUAACAAAAAGAGUUUGGCCCGCAUUAGAGAUAUAAGAUAUAUUCAUACGAAAUUAAUUAGAAAAACAAUGAAAAUAACUCCGAUAUAAAUUCACCACGGAAAUAAUUUAGUGACGUUUAUUAAUAUACUCUUUUUCCCAAUAUUCUUAUACACGAGAACUAAGUUCAAAUAUCUCAGAUUACAAUUUAAAAAUUAUUAGUCCAGCUUUUUGAACUUUUAGAAAUUAGCUAGUAUUCACAAAAUAAAGGAAUAACUUACCGGAAAAGGGUCAUAUUUGCCCCUGUACUCUCAGAAAAAAGUUAUAUUUGCCCUUCAUUAUACUUUUUUGAUAUAUUAGCCUUUGUCAUCCAACUUUAGAGCUAUACUUGCCCCUGUACUCUAUUUUUGUGCCAUAUUUACCCUCCGUCCGUUAAAUCCUCUUGUCCCCGUCUUGAUUUUCAUACGUGGCGCUUAUGUGAAAUUGUUAUUCUCUUAAUUUAAAUCUGCUCCCAUUUAUAUUUUAUUUUUUCUAUUCUUCUUCACCAAUUUCCUUCAAUGGAGACCACUGAAGCUCAAAUUUGGUCAAGUUUACAGUGGCCUUAACAUCACCAGCCGUGUGCCUCACCAUUUUCUCUGUAAAAGCUAAAAGCUAUUUUGACAGGCUCUAAAGUUUGAAUUCAACUUCUUUAGAUACCCAAUGAUACCUUAGUUUUCAUCAACAAAAAUUACAACUUUUUUGAUGUAAACCUGGCACGCAUAACUACAAAAUCAGCGAAUUGAAGCGUGUACUACUUUUUCAGGAUUAACUUGUCUUUUGCAAUAAUUGUUAACAAUACUAUACCAUAUCAUGCAAAUCUUAGCCGUAAAGGCUUCAGGUCUCUUAUUUACAGUGGUGAUCACGACAUGGUUAUACCAUUUAUUUCAACUCAAGCAUGGAUCAAAUCACUAAACUACUCAAUUAGUGAUUAUUGGAAGCCAUGGAUUGUCGAUGGUCAAGUUGCUGGUUACACAAGAAGUUACUCCAACCAAAUGACGUUCGCGACGGUCAAGGCAAGAAACUAAUUUCAUUUUGCUUUCCUGUACCUAAUACUUUACUCGCAUUCGAUAUUUAUUUAUAUUAAAUUAA